rnacentral:rRNA from 1 species
UACGUAGGGUGCAAGCGUUUGUCCGGAAUUAUUGGGCGUAAAGAGCUCGUAGGCGGUUUGUUGCGUCGGCUGUGAAAUCCCGAGGCUCAACCUCGGGUCUGCAGUCGAUACGAGCAAACUAGAGUGUUGCAGGGGAGACUGGAAUUCCUGGUGUAGCGGUGAAAUGCGCAGAUAUCAGGAGGAACACCGGUGGCGAAGGCGGGUCUCUGGGCAACAACUGACGCUGAGGAGCGAAAAGCGUGGGGGAGCGAACAGG